UGGGGAAUUUUGGACAAUGGGGGCAACCCUGAUCCAGCCAUGCCGCGUGAGUGAAGAAGGCCUUCGGGUUGUAAAGCUCUUUCGGCGGGGACGAAACGGUCCGUGACAACACCACGGACUAAUGACAGUACUCGCAGAAGAAGCACCGGCUAACUACGUGCCAGCAGCCGCGGUAAUACGUAGGGUGCAGGCGUUAAUCGGAAUUACUGGGCGUAAAGCGUGCGCAGGCGGCUCCUUAAGUCAGAUGUGAAAUCCCCGGGCUUAACCUGGGAACUGCGUUUGAAACUGAGGGGCUAGAGUGUGGAAGAGGGGGGUGGAAGUUCCAGGUGUAGCAGUGAAAUGCGUAGAGAUCUGGAGGAACACCGAUGGCGAAGGCAGCCCCCUGGGCUAACACUGACGCUCAUGCACGAAAGCGUGGGGAGCAAACAGGAUUAGAUACCCAAGUAGUCCCUGAGCGGGCUGGCAAGGCGCAU
rnacentral:rRNA from 1 species